rnacentral:rRNA from 1 species
GAUGAACGCUGGCGGCGUGCCUAAUACAUGCAAGUCGAGCGAACGGACGAGAAGCUUGCUUCUCUGAUGUUAGCGGCGGACGGGUGAGUAACACGUGGAUAACCUACCUAUAAGACUGGGAUAACUUCGGGAAACCGGAUCUAAUACCGGAGAAUAUUUUGAACCGCAUGGUUCAAAAGUGAAAGACGGUCUUGCUGUCACUUAUAGAUGGAUCCGCGCUGCAUUAGCUAGUUGGUAAGGUAACGGCUUACCAAGGCAACGAGGCAUAGCCGACCUGAGAGGGUGAUCGGCCACCCUGGAACUGGGACAGCGUCCAGACUCCUACGGGAGGCAGCAGUAGGGAAUCUUCCGCAAUGGGCGAAAGCCUGACGGAGCAACGCCGCGUGAGUGAUGAAGGUCUUCGGAUCGUAAAACUCUGUUAUUAGGGAAGAACAUAUGUGUAAGUAACUGUGCACAUCUUGACGGUACCUAAUCAGAAAGCCACGGCUAACUACGUG